ACCAAAACCAAAAAAAAAAACAACCGAUGCGAAAAAAGAAAUGGUAAAACAUGAUAUCUGUCUGCUGGUUUGAACUCCUCUUCAAUUCUCU
rnacentral:ribozyme from 1 species